GGCCCGAGCGCGGCUCCGCUCGGCUCCUGUGCGGCUGCCGCGGGGCCGGGGCCGGCAGCGAUGUUGGCGGGGCCGGGGCCGGGGCUGCUGGCCUUGGCCUUGGCCUUGUGGCCGGCAGGGCUCCGGGCACAGCCGAGGCUGCAGGAGGCCGGCGGAGGGCAGCGAGCACCCGGGGACUCCGUCACCCUCUCCUGCCGCGGAUCCGGAUUCACCUUCGAGGAUCGCUCUAUUCGGUGGUACCGUCAGGCGCCCGGAGGCAGCCUGGAGUGGGUGUCCUUUAUCAGCUACUCCAGGAUUACUAAAGUGGACUACGGGGCAGCAGUGAAGGAUCGGGCCGAGAUAUCCCGGGACAAUUCCCGAUCCGAGGCUUAUCUCUCUCUGCGGUCCUUGCAAGCUCAGGACUCUGCCCGGUAUUUCUGUGCCCUCCCACGGUGACAGGAAAUGCAGAUGAGCUUUAACACAAACCUCCCGGGGCCCGGCAGAGAAUGCCUUAGAUGCCGAGAAAGUGAGAGUUGCCAUGGGCUGGAGCCAGUU